UGCAAGUCGAGCGGACAGAUGGGAGCUUGCUCCCUGAUGUUAGCGGCGGACGGGUGAGUAACACGUGGGUAACCUGCCUGUAAGACUGGGAUAACUCCGGGAAACCGGGGCUAAUACCGGAUGCUUGUUUGAACCGCAUGGUUCAAACAUAAAAGGUGGCUUCGGCUACCACUUACAGAUGGACCCGCGGCGCAUUAGCUAGUUGGUGAGGUAAUGGCUCACCAAGGCAACGAUGCGUAGCCGACCUGAGAGGGUGAUCGGCCACACUGGGACUGAGACACGGCCCAGACUCCUACGGGAGGCAGCAGUAGGGAAUCUUCCGCAAUGGACGAAAGUCUGACGGAGCAACGCCGCGUGAGUGAUGAAGGUUUUCGGAUCGUAAAGCUCUGUUGUUAGGGAAGAACAAGUACCGUUCGAAUAGGGCGGUACCUUGACGGUACCUAACCAGAAAGCCACGGCUAACUACGUGCCAGCAGCCGCGGUAAUACGUAGGUGGCAAGCGUUGUCCGGAAUUAUUGGGCGUAAAGGGCUCGCAGGCGGUUUCUUAAGUCUGAUGUGAAAGCCCCCGGCUCAACCGGGGAGGGUCAUUGGAAACUGGGGAACUUGAGUGCAGAAGAGGAGAGUGGAAUUCCACGUGUAGCGGUGAAAUGCGUAGAGAUGUGGAGGAACACCAGUGGCGAAGGCGACUCUCUGGUCUGUAACUGACGCUGAGGAGCGAAAGCGUGGGGAGCGAACAGGAUUAGAUACCCUGGUAGUCCACGCCGUAAACGAUGAGUGCUAAGUGUUAGGGGGUUUCCGCCCCUUAGUGCUGCAGCUAACGCAUUAAGCACUCCGCCUGGGGAGUACGGUCGCAAGACUGAAACUCAAAGGAAUUGACGGGGGCCCGCACAAGCGGUGGA
rnacentral:rRNA from 1 species